rnacentral:rRNA from 1 species
AGAGUUUGAUCAUGGCUCAGAUUGAACGCUGGCGGCAGGCCUAACACAUGCAAGUCGAGCGGUAGAGAGAAGCUUGCUUCUCUUGAGAGCGGCGGACGGGUGAGUAAUGCCUAGGAAUCUGCCUGGUAGUGGGGGAUAACGUCCGGAAACGGACGCUAAUACCGCAUACGUCCUACGGGAGAAAGCAGGGGACCUUCGGGCCUUGCGCUAUCAGAUGAGCCUAGGUCGGAUUAGCUAGUUGGUGGGGUAAUGGCUCACCAAGGCGACGAUCCGUAACUGGUCUGAGAGGAUGAUCAGUCACACUGGAACUGAGACACGGUCCAGACUCCUACGGGAGGCAGCAGUGGGGAAUAUUGGACAAUGGGCGAAAGCCUGAUCCAGCCAUGCCGCGUGUGUGAAGAAGGUCUUCGGAUUGUAAAGCACUUUAAGUUGGGAGGAAGGGCAGUAAAUUAAUACUUUGCUGUUUUGACGUUACCGACAGAAUAAGCACCGGCUAACUCUGUGCCAGCAGCCGCGGUAAUACAGAGGGUGCAAGCGUUAAUCGGAAUUACUGGGCGUAAAGCGCGCGUAGGUGGUUCGUUAAGUUGGAUGUGAAAUCCCCGGGCUCAACCUGGGAACUGCAUUCAAAACUGACGAGCUAGAGUAUGGUAGAGGGUGGUGGAAUUUCCUGUGUAGCGGUGAAAUGCGUAGAUAUAGGAAGGAACACCAGUGGCGAAGGCGACCACCUGGACUGAUACUGACACUGAGGUGCGAAAGCGUGGGGAGCAAACAGGAUUAGAUACCCCGGUAGUCCAA